AUUCUAGUAGCUUAGUGGUUGGAGUAUUAGCUUCCAACUCUAAAGUACUCGGGUUCAAAUCCUGUCAAUGAUA
rnacentral:tRNA from 1 species